AUUUUUCAAAAUUGAAUGUAUUGAAUUAUUAUUUUUCCAUUAUGCUUUUCCUCUGGGCAGUUAGUAAACAAGCCUAUUAUGUAUUUCCUAGUUGUCCCCUCAAGUGCUCUUUGGAAGAAGGCAGUGCAUAUAUAUAAGUAAGCAAAUGAAACCAAAGAACAGGAGGUUCUUCCAAUAUCUUCCCAUGAUGUCCCUCAUUCUGUGUCCUUCCUUUUUGUCAUGAUUGUUAUGGUAAUGUUAGGAAGUCCCACUUCUUGCACAUAGGUGAAGUCAUCUCACUACAGUAUAGCCUUCUUGCUGAAAGAACUUUGGGCUUCCAAGUUACUUCAGGUGCUGGUUUGGAUUAGCGGUGUGUUGAUAGAUGUUUAACAACUCGCUCGCAGACAUAAAAUUGCCUUGAUUUGUAGAGCUGACUUGCUGAUUUCUGUGGUGUAAAUCCUCCCACCAUGGCAGAUUUCAUCUUACCAGAGUGACCUCAUGAACGUGGAACUGGAAAGAGAUGCACACAUUUAACUCUCAUGUACUGGUAAGAGCUGGCUGCCCCACACUGCUGGUUCUGUGGACCUAGGCCCGGGUUUCUCAACCUCAGCACUAUUGACAUUUUGGGCAGAAUGGCUGUUGGUUAUUGGUGGCUGUCCUGUGUAUUGUAGGAUGUUUAGCAGCACCUGUUUUUUCUACUCACUAGAUGCCAGGAGCAACCCCUCCCUACUAAGUUGUAACAACCAAAAAUGUCUCCAGAUUUUGCCAGAUGUCUCCUGAGGGGCAAAAUCUCCCUUAGUUCUGGGCUAUUCUGCAUUGAUACUGCUUAGAAGGUCCAUUCAGCAGGCAGUAGGCCUCCACUGGUAGCUUUUCCAUGAACCACUCUAAAUAUGCACCCAAAGAGAUUCUCUCUUGGCAUUUUGGAUGUGGUGCAUUAGUCUGUUCUCAUGCUGUUAAUAAAGACGUACCUGAGACUGGGUAAUUUAUAAAGGAAAGAGGUUUAAUGGACCCACAGUUUGACAUGGCUGGGGAGGCCUCACAAUUGUGGCAGAAGACGAAAGAAGAGCAAAGGGACGUCUUACAUGGCAGCAGGCAAGAGAGCUUGUGCAGGAGAACUCCCCUUUAUAAAAUCAUCAGAUCUCAUGAGACUUAUUCACUGUCAUGAGAACAACAUGGGAAAGUCCUGCCCCCAUGAUUCAGUCACCUCUCACUGGGUCCCUCCCACGACACGUAGGAAUUAUGGGAGCUACAAUUCAAGAUGAGAUUUGGGUGGGGAUACAGCCAAACCAUAACACGUGGUAUUGCAAAACACUGAAAGUGUGCUUCUUUGGGUAGUCUUGAGAAGAGUCAUGCUGUAAGGACUUAAGGCACCAAAAAGUUAAGACACAGCAGGGCCAGUAGGAGAGCAUCAGGGUAAUUCCGCUGUAGGAUAUAUCCUAUAUCCAUUAUAGGAUAGAUUUUGACAGACUGCAGAGAUCCCUUAGGCAAACCUUUCCUUUGUGUGGGUGAGAAAUGAGACUCAGGGACAAGGUGUGACUUGUCCAAGGGCAAGGUGUGGAUGUGCUUGGACAGUCACAGGGGUGUUGUGGUGAAUGCUGUGAGAUGCCUGUGUGACAUACUGGGAAUUAGAACUGACUCCAACUUGUAGCUAAAUGUAUUUUGUGGGCUUUUCAAUGUUGGGUUUGGAUGGAUAUAUUCUGACAUCUCCCUGUCCCGUACCUCUCUGCCCCUUUGGAAAUAUCUGCUCAUGAAAACCAUAUUAUAAUGAGGGAUUUCUGUUUCAGAUAGAAUUAUUCCCUUCAGUUUCAGGAGUGAAUUGAUUAUUCACAUGUUCUAUUUAGGGGGUUUAAGCUGCUAGUCUUUAAAGAAUAAAUGCUGAAGAUUGUCAUUGAUUCCUCUUUCUUUCCUCCCAUGUCUGCUCUGGGCCUUCUCAUUGAUGUAGUAUCUCAGGUUACUUCCAAAAUAAUUUGAGAAACGGAUUUAUAGAAGAAGCUAGCUUUCCAGUAGAAAAGUUUAGAUAACAAGAUUAAUGUGAUAAGAACUAAGAAAGCCCUUCCUAGUUUUCAUUGAAAAUGUGUUUUUAAUGCCCAGAGGUGCCCAGUCAAAAAGGAAAUAUUACAGAAGGAUUAUUUUCAUCAGCAGAGUUCUUGGGCAUUGCAAGUUCCAGUGUAAUUAGGGAAAUCACAUGUGAGUACAUCAAUACACUUCAGAUGCCAAUACGUUGGGCUUAAUGAGGACAGCAAGUCUGCUUUUAUUAGGGGAUUGAAUAAAAGUGAAAGGAGUGCUUGAAAAGAAUGCGUAAUUUUGGAUGGGAUAAUUCAUCACUUCACUCCAGGUCAGUUUUUCACAGUAAGAAGUGCUGGCUCUUCAGAAAAUUUGGCAUAACCAAAGUUUGUUUUCACUACCUCCUCCUUCUCACAUUGUCCUUUGUCACACCCCCAGCAGGUCCACAGUGAUCCUGCAGGCCACCCCCAUGGGCCCUGCCCGUUUUCUUCCACCAGGGGCUAUCUUACAUCAAUCUUUCAAGGUCUCCUCAGUAAUGUAGGCCAGUUGGAUUUUUGCUUUCUUUUCCCAGAGGACAAUUCAGCCUCAGCAUCUUAGUCUAAAAGGAUUCAUGCAAGGGUGUCAGAUGUUUUAUUAGGCUAACGGGAGGUAUUUUGGGUUGUGGGGAGCACUUAAUGCAACCCUGUAUGACAUUCCCUACUCAGUGAUGUUCAGGCUGCACAGGCCAACAUGGAAAGGGCUUAAGGGAGAUGACAAAAAAAAUCUCUUCUUCCACAAGGAUUUUCAAUUGAUCAAUUUUGUAACUUUUUUGUGAUGAAACUAUCUGCACUGCAACUAAUGAUUUUUUUUCUCAAGGUGGAAAAGGUAGGAGCAACAGCUUUCAGUUCUAAGGAUACAUUCUGUUGACCUUCAUAAGCCCUAGGAACUAGAGGGGUAAGAUUGAGGAGGAAAUAGAGAAAAUAAUUUGCUCUAUAGUAUUUUCCCCCUGAGCUGCCAUCUGGGGCUUUCAGAGCUUAGCACUGCACUCUUGCACUGUUGCACACACCACAGGAACAAUACCAGGAGAUGUCAAACAUGAGUGGUAUUGGUCACUGGAAACAGCAGAUUCCAAAUAGCUGUCUCACCAGAUUGUUCUUUCAGAAGAUUAAUUUGUGCCAACUACUUCUUUGUCAUGGAUCCUUCCUGGUUCUGCAACACAGAUGUGGAAAGUGAAGAGAACAUGUCAUGGGAUUCCAUUUCUAAGAGUGGAAAAUAUACAAUUUACAUGGGAUGUUUAAGAUAUUAAUAUAUUGUUCACCAUGUGUAUCCAGAGCUUUAGUAGAAGUAGAUUGAAAGAGCCGUUCAUGUAUACAUGGUGCUCCUCAUUGUCAAAUGCUGAAGCCUGUUUCAGGCUGGGUUUGGGGGCUGGGGGUACUUAUGGGACAAAGUCUGACUCUCGGUCUGUAGGCUGAGUGCCUUCUUAGUGUGUUGGGACUCAGCAUGUAUUCACCCCAUCUGUACUCACAAGCCUAAUUCAUUAAUCAGGAUGACUUACCGGGCUGUGAGCCCUUUGAGGACAGGACCUUGUACCUUUAUCUUGUGCCUCUCAUGCCUAGCAUAGCACCAGGCAUGUAAGAGGUUCUUUUUAAAAAAGUGUUUUACAGCUUUAUCAAGGCAUACAUGAUGUCGGAUCAACUGCAUGUGUUUAAAGUUUUACACUUGAUGAAUUUUGAUAUAUGUCUAUACCCAUGAAACCAUCACUGCAAUCAAGAUAAUAAACGCAUUCAUCCGCCCUAAAAUUUCUCGUGUCCCUUUGCAAGCUGCUCCCCUUCCUCCCAUUGUUCCCAGACAACCACUAUUCUGCUUUCUGUCACUGCAGAUGAGUUUGUGUUUUCUGGAAUUUUAUAUAAAUGGAAUCAUACAACAUGUACUCUGUUUUUCUUUCUGGCUGUUUUCACUCAGCAUAAUUUUCUCAAGAUUCAUUGAAGUUCUAUACAUUAAUAGUUUGCUACAUUACAUUGCUGAAUAGUAUUCCAUUGUAUAAAUCAUAAUAGGCACCUAACAAGUGUUUGUGGCUUUACAUUGAUUUGAAAAUUAAUUUUUAAGAAUAUAAUUGGGCGAAAAGUGGACAAUGGGAUACCACUCUAUUCUUGGUGAGUGGGUUCACUCAGGAAGUGGAAAUAGGAAUCAGGAGAUAAUUUGGCAUGGUAGAGACUUUUGUUGUCAUCCAAUAUCUAUUUUUCCUUCUUUCUUAGUACUAGAAUACCUGAGUUUUGGCUGGGCACAGAACUGUCUGGAAUACAGACUACAAUUCCCAGCCUUCUGUGCAGUUCUGUGUGGCCAUGUGACUAAGUUGUGAUCAAUAUGAGUCACAGAAGAAUAGAAGAACAACUCAGAGGAGGAAGAAGUCAGACAUAGCCAGACGCGGCUGCUAGCAGUUCCACCAAUGAAAGAGGAGACCGGGAUGUUUAAAACAGGCAAACACAAGGUGCGAAAAACCAGAAGUGAAAACUUCUGAGGUCAUUUAAGCAGGGACUGUCGUUAUUCCCGGAAGCAGAGAGAAGUUCAGUCCCUUGCCCAACAUCACACUGCAAGCAUGCGUUGGAGCUGAGAUUCAAACCCAGGCAUCCAGGGUCCAGGGCCCAUGCUCUUAACAUAUUCCAUAUCUUAGGAUAAUUUCCCCUAUUUAAACAAUAAAAGUGCAAAAAUCUUGUGGCUAGCCAAAAUUUUCAGUUGUUUGGAAAACUUAUUUAUCCAAUAAGUGGGAAACUCACUUGUCUUCCAACAAUUCUGGAUAAAUGAAAGAAUGAAUUGAACUGAGACUGGAAUCCGGGUCUCCCAGUACUUUGUAGUUCCUAUCCAUAUGGCUUGUCAGGAAGGCCACAGGGACGUUAACUUACUCUGAGUAACCAGAAACAAUCCCACAUCAGACUGUUGGCAGUGGGAGUGGAACACUCAGAGCUGAACAGCAUGCAAGAUGGUUGCAUUUUCAUUUGCAAUGUUGUCAUCUUCCUCAUGGCUCAAGAGGUAUUUUGGAGUUGACAUGAAGCCUACUGUAAUUUUUAGAGGCAUUUUCUUUCUGGCCUGUAUUUACAUAUUGUGGUAGAAGAGUCAGAAGACUUCAAGCUUCAAAAGUGAAUCUUGUUGCGGGUUACAAAAGCACCACCCGGUGGGGUGCAGCUCUCAGCGUGUGUCACCCCAGGCGCUGUGAUUUCCCUGUCUUCAUCCAACUUUGGUUGCUGUUCUUCAUGCUCAGGAAUUCUGCAAUUGCCGUAGCUUUUGCUGUUGUUAUGUCUGUAGGUAUGGACUCAUUUCCACCAUUCUGGAAUGAAACAUUAUUUCAAGGGAAGCUUCUCAUUGUAAAAGGUCCACACAUUCAGAAGGAAACUGGGAGUACAUUUUCUCAUAGGCCUGGAGCAUUAACUGACUAUGCGUCUUUCCCCUCAGCGUUGUCUUCAUGUUGUAAGUGGAUGAGUCAUGGACAACAUUUUCACACACGUACAUGAGGUCCAUCGACCAGUCUUUAGGACAACUAGAAAUCUUUUCUUUCUUUGUUUUAAAAAAGAAGACAAGUCAAGAUACAGCAAAUAAAAAUGCUCAGCACAUUUGCUGAAAUCUUAGCAAAAUCAAAUUACUAGUAAUUUGUUAAUCACACUAUACCUGUUUUGAGCCAAUCCUACUUAACCCACCCUCCAUCUUCCUCAUGCUUGCCUCCCUGGUGAACUCCUGUUUAUGUUACAAAGCUCAGUGUUUGUGUUACUAUUUUUGUGCUAUUUCUGAACGUUAAAUGUCCCUUUAUUAUAGAACAUAUCUCAUGGAAUAGUUAUUAUUGUAUAUCCACUGCCCUUGUUAGGCUGUGAGCUUUCUUUCUUUCUUUUUCUUUUCUUCCCUCCUUCCUUCCUCCCUCCCUCCCUUCCUUCGUUCCUUCCUUCCUUCUCUCUUUCUCUCUUUUUCUUUUCUUUUCUUUUUUUUAAAUUUGAGACAGGGUGUCACUCUGUCACCCAGGCUGCAGUGCAAUGGUACGAUCAUAGCUCACUGCAGCUUCGAUUUCUCAGUUCAAGCGAUCCUCCUGCCUCAGUCUCUGGAGUAGCUGGGACUACAGGCACAAAUUACCACUCCUGACUUAAAGCCUGGGAGUUUCUUGUAGGUAGGAUUCGUAACUAAUGUAUUGCUAUGUCCUGGCACAUAGAAGGUAUGAUAUGCAGAAUUCUGAGAUCACUCCCAAGAUCCCCAGCCCCUCUGGCAUCCAUAUCCUAGAAAAUCUCUUCUUCUCAAAUAUGAAUGGGACCUGUGAAUAUGAUGCCUGUCACUCUCUAAUUAGAUUACAUUAUAUGGCUAAGGUGAAGGAAUUCUGCAGAUAUAAUUAAGGUCGAGGAUGAGUUGAUAUUGAGUUACUCACAAAGGAGAUUAUACUGGGUGGCCCUGCCUUAAUCAGGGAAAAGCCCUUAAAAGAGGACUGGGCCCUUCCUGAAGGAGGACAGUCCACUGCUGGCUUUGAAGCAGUAAGCAGCUGUGUUUUAAGGGGGCCUAUGGAGGGGCCCAUGUGGCAAGGACCUGAGGCUGGCCUCUAGGAGUUGGCAGCAGUUCCCAGCCACUGGCUAGCAAGAAAACAGGUGGUUCAGCCACAUAGCCACAAGGAAAUGAAUUCUACCAACAAUCCAAGUGAGCUUGGAAGUGAAUUUUUUACAUGGUCAAGCCUCCAGAUGAACACCUUAACUGUAACAUAUGAAUAGCUGAGCAGAGGACCCACUUCAGCCAUGCCUGGACUCCUGACUUGUGGAAACUGAGAUAACAAAUGUAUAUUAUUUUAAGCCGGUAAGGUUGUGGUAAUUUGUUAUGCAACAAUGCCUAAUACAGUAAGCAUCUUAAAUGUUUGUUGAACUUAAUUUAAUCUGGGAAAUAUAAUAUUUAAAA